rnacentral:rRNA from 1 species
GACGAACGCUGGCGGCGUGCUUAACACAUGCAAGUCGAACGGAAAGGCCCUGCUUUUGUGGGGUGCUCGAGUGGCGAACGGGUGAGUAACACGUGAGUAACCUGCCCUUGACUUUGGGAUAACUUCAGGAAACUGGGGCUAAUACCGGAUAGGAUCUCCUGCUGCAUGGUGGGGGUUGGAAAGUUUCGGCGGUUGGGGAUGGACUCGCGGCUUAUCAGCUUGUUGGUGGGGUAGUGGCUUACCAAGGCUUUGACGGGUAGCCGGCCUGAGAGGGUGACCGGCCACAUUGGGACUGAGAUACGGACCAGACUCCUACGGGAGGCAGCAGUGGGGAAUAUUGCACAAUGGGAGGAAGCCUGAUGAAGAAACGCCGCGUGCGGGAUGACGGCCUUCGGGUUGUAAACCGCUUUCGCCUGUGACGAAGCGUGAGUGACGGUAAUGGGUAAAGAAGCACCGGCUAACUACGUG